rnacentral:tRNA from 1 species
GGCUCGUUGGUCUAGGGGUAUGAUUCUUGCUUUGGGUGCGAGAGGUCCCGGGUUCAAAUCCUGGACGAGCCC